rnacentral:rRNA from 1 species
AACGAACGCUGGCGGCAGGCCUAACACAUGCAAGUCGAGCGCCCCGCAAGGGGAGCGGCGGACGGGUGAGUAACGCGUGGGAACGUACCCUUUGCUACGGAAUAGCCUCGGGAAACUGGGAGUAAUACCGUAUGUGCCCUUCGGGGGAAAGAUUUAUCGGCAAAGGAUCGGCCCGCGUUGGAUUAGGUAGUUGGUGGGGUAAUGGCCUACCAAGCCGACGAUCCAUAGCUGGUUUGAGAGGAUGAUCAGCCACACUGGGACUGAGACACGGCCCAGACUCCUACGGGAGGCAGCAGUGGGGAAUCUUAGACAAUGGGCGCAAGCCUGAUCUAGCCAUGCCGCGUGAGCGAUGAAGGCCUUAGGGUUGUAAAGCUCUUUCAGUGGGGAAGAUAAUGACUGUACCCACAGAAGAAGCCCCGGCUAACUCCGUGCCAGCAGCCGCGGUAAAGUACAGUGU